rnacentral:tRNA from 1 species
AGCAGCGUGGCUCAGUGGAAAGAGCCUGGGCUUUGGAGUCAGAGGUCGUGGGUUCGAAUCCCAGCUCUGCCA